rnacentral:rRNA from 1 species
UACGUAGGGUGCGAGCGUUACUCGGAAUUACUGGGCGUAAAGCGUGCGCAGGCGGUUGUGUAAGUCAGUUGUGAAAUCCCCGGGCUCAACCUGGGAAUUGCAUCUGUGACUGCACAGCUAGAGUACGGUAGAGGGGGAUGGAAUUCCGCGUGUAGCAGUGAAAUGCGUAGAUAUGCGGAGGAACACCGAUGGCGAAGGCAAUCCCCUGGACCUGUACUGACGCUCAUGCACGAAAGCGUGGGGAGCAAACAGG